rnacentral:lncRNA from 1 species
UUAAAUGUCUUUGGAGUCUUUUGUGUUGUGUGGUUGUUUUAUUGUAUUGUAUAACUUCAUCUAUCUUACAUGUUGAAGACAGCAGGAUGAUCAGUAAAGGGGAGGGGAUUGGAAAAGCUCCUUAAAGUUAAAGCACAUAAUUUUAAUUCAGUGAUUUUUUGGUUAAAACAUUUUUUUGGUACAAUUUUUUAUCUGAUUUUG